rnacentral:rRNA from 1 species
UGGGGAAUUUUGGACAAUGGGCGAAAGCCUGAUCCAGCAAUGCCGCGUGUGUGAAGAAGGCCUUCGGGUUGUAAAGCACUUUUGUCCGGAAAGAAAUCCUUGGCUCUAAUACAGUCGGGGGAUGACGGUACCGGAAGAAUAAGCACCGGCUAACUACGUGCCAGCAGCCGCGGUAAUACGUAGGGUGCAAGCGUUAAUCGGAAUUACUGGGCGUAAAGCGUGCGCAGGCGGUUUGCUAAGACCGAUGUGAAAUCCCCGGGCUCAACCUGGGAACUGCAUUGGUGACUGGCAGGCUAGAGUAUGGCAGAGGGGGGUAGAAUUCCACGUGUAGCAGUGAAAUGCGUAGGGAUGUGGAGGAAUACCGAUGGCGAAGGCAGCCCCCUGGGCCAAUACUGACGCUCAUGCACGAAAGCGUGGGGAGCAAACAGGAUUAGAUACCCUGGUAGUCCACGCCCUAAACGAUGUCAACUAGUUGUUGGGGAUUCAUUUCCUUAGUAACGUAGCUAACGCGUGAAGUUGACCGCCUGGGGAGUACGGUCGCAAGAUUAAAACUCAAAUGAAUUGACGGGGUCAUAGCUGUUUCCU